UCCUCCUGUCUCAGCCUUCCCAGUAGCUGGGAUUACAGAACUGGCAUGCAGAUCACAGUUCCCUAAGCUGGGUGACUCUGUAAAACUAACAUGAUUAGAAGCAGAUCCACUGACCCUUAAGCUUGGUGGAAGAUUCUGGAAUACUGUUUUCUUGUGUUAACGAAAGCUGUUCAAAGACCAUUUCACCUCUCUGUGACUCUGACAGUGGAAACAGGAGGACAUCACCCUCCUUCUCACCUGGAAAGACGACAUCCAGUUCUUUUCCUCCCAUCUGAUAGUCUGGGAAUCUGAUCCCAAGUCAUCAACGUGGCUGCUUCCCCUCCUUUUGGGGAAAUAAAGAUUAAGCGAGCUCAUAUUUCCUUCACAAGAGACUCAA